UUUCCGUAGGUGAACCUGCGGAAGGAUCAUUAAUGAUGCCCUUUUGGGUUUGGCCAGUCCUUGGACUGGUCUCAUCAACACACCGUGAACCGUGGCUUCGGCCAUUACACAAACUGUUAGUAAUGAAUGUAACAUCAUAACAAACAUAAAACUUUUAACAACGGAUCUCUUGGCUCUC
rnacentral:misc_RNA from 1 species